rnacentral:lncRNA from 1 species
UUUCUUUAUUUCACAUGUACACUCGGGAGCGUAUUUGGAGUUGUGAUACGACUCCAUUCAUCUGUCCCAAAUCAGAUUUGUGCUCAUCGAUACAUUAUAAGCUCGUGUCUAGCAGCCUUUAUCGCGUCAAUAGUGUCCAACGCUUCCUUCUCGCUUCAAAGUUUCAUGUGUUUUAUAUACAUAUAUGUGUUGCUAUUUUUGACUAACAUUUUCC